GAUGAAGAACGUAGCGAAAUGCGAUACGUAAUGUGAAUUGCAGAAUUCAGUGAAUCAUCGAGUCUUUGAACGCACACUGCGCCCCCUGGUAUUCCGGGGGGCAUGCCUGUCCGAGCGUCAUUGCUGCCCUCAAGCACGGCUUGUGUGUUGGGCCUCCGUCCUCCUCCCGGGGGACGGGCCCGAAAGGCAGCGGCGGCACCGCGUCCGGUCCUCGAGCGUAUGGGGCUUCGUCACCCGCUCUUGUAGGCCCGGCCGGCGCUUGCCGACACAUCAAUCUUUUUUUCCAGGUUGACCUCGGAUCAGGUAGGGAUACCCGCUGAACUUAAGCAUAUCAAUAAGCGGAGGA
rnacentral:misc_RNA from 1 species